AAAAAUAUAUUAAUAUUUUCUCAUAUAAACUUGAAAAUAAGGUUCAAGAGUUUCUACCUAGCGCCCGUAAACUGCUAGACUAUGAGGAAGAGCUCUGGAUUU
rnacentral:ncRNA from 2 species